rnacentral:lncRNA from 1 species
GCCUUUUUGAGUUAUUGUCCGAAGUGUUAAAAAUCCCCCUUUUUUUAUGAAUAAAGCCCCAUAAAUCCAAAACUUAAAAUCUGAAAUUUAUAAAAAUUGAAAGGGAGCUUACAUCAAUAGAUAUAAACAAUUCACCAAAGUUUCAUGGACAUUGGUGAAAGCCUUUUUGAGUUAUUGUCCGAAGUGUUGAAAAUCCCCCCUUUUUUAUGAAUAAAGCCCCAUAAAUCCAAAACUUAAAAUCUGAAAUUAAAAAAAAAAAAAACGAAAGGAGCUUACGUCAAUAGAUAUAAACAAUUCACUUAAGUUUCAUGGAAAUUGGUGAAAGUGUUUUUGAGUUAUUGUCCGAAGUGUGGACGACGGACGGACGGACAGA